AAUGGCUCAUUAUAUAAGUUAUCGUUUAUUUGAUAUUGCCUAUCCUACAUGGAUAACAGUGGUAAUUCUAGAGCUAAUACAUGCUGAAAAUCCCAACUUCGGAAGGGACGUAUUUAUUAGAAUCAGAACCAAUGCCCUUCGGGGUUCCUUGGUGAAUCAUGAUAACUCCACAGAUCGCAUGGCCUUGCGCCGGCGAUGGCUCAUUCAAAUUUCUUCCCUAUCAACUUUCGACGGUACGGUCUUGGCCUACCGUGGUUGUAACGGGUGACGGAGGGUUAGGGCUCGACCCCGGAGAAGGAGCCGGAGGAACGGCUACUACAUCCAAGGAAGGCAGCAGGCGCGCAAAUUAUCCAAUCCCGACACGGGGAGAUAGUGACAAUAAAUACCGAUACAGGGCUCUUUUGGGCCCUGUAAUUGGAAUGAGUACAAUUUAAACCUCUUAACGAGGAACAAUUGGAGGGCAAGUCUGGUGCCAGCAGCCGCGGUAAUUCCAGCUCCAAUAGCGUAUAUUAAAGUUGUUGUGGUUAAAAAGCUCGUAGUCGAACCUCGAGCCUGGCCGGCCGGUCCGCCUCACCGCGUGCACUGGUCUGGCCGGGUUCUUCCCUCUGCGGAACCGCAUGUCCUUCACUGGGCGUGUCGGGGAGGCAGGACUUUUACUUUGAAAAAAUUAGAGUGCUCAAGGCAGGCCAAUGCUCGAAUACAUUAGCAUGGAAUAAUAGAAUAGGACGUUGGUUCUAUUUUGUUGGUUUCUAGGACCGCCGUAAUGAUCAAUAGGGACGGUCGGGGGCAUCAGUAUUCAGCCGUCAGAGGUGAAAUUCUUGGACCGG
rnacentral:rRNA from 1 species